rnacentral:rRNA from 1 species
AUGAACGCUAGCGACAGGCUUAACACAUGCAAGUCGAGGGGCAGCACUGGUAGCAAUACCGGGUGGCGACCGGCGCACGGGUGAGUAACGCGUAUGCAACUUGCCUAUCAGAGGGGGAUAACCCGGCGAAAGUCGGACUAAUACCGCAUGAAGCAGGGAUCCCGCAUGGGAAUAUUUGCUAAAGAUUCAUCGCUGAUAGAUAGGCAUGCGUUCCAUUAGGCAGUUGGCGGGGUAACGGCCCACCAAACCGACGAUGGAUAGGGGUUCUGAGAGGAAGGUCCCCCACAUUGGUACUGAGACACGGACCAAACUCCUACGGGAGGCAGCAGUGAGGAAUAUUGGUCAAUGGCCGAGAGGCUGAACCAGCCAAGUCGCGUGAGGGAUGAAGGUUCUAUGGAUCGUAAACCUCUUUUAUAAGGGAAUAAAGUGCGGGACGUGUCCCGUUUUGUAUGUACCUUAUGAAUAAGGAUCGGCUAACUCCGUGCCAGCAGCCGCGGUAAUACGGAGGAUCCGAGCGUUAUCCGGAUUUAUUGGGUUUAAAGGGUGCGUAGGCGGCCUUUUAAGUCAGCGGUGAAAGUCUGUGGCUCAACCAUAGAAUUGCCGUUGAAACUGGGGGGCUUGAGUAUGUUUGAGGCAGGCGGAAUGCGUGGUGUAGCGGUGAAAUGCAUAGAUAUCACGCAGAACCCCGAUUGCGAAGGCAGCCUGCCAAGCCAUUACUGACGCUGAUGCACGAAAGCGUGGGGAUCAAACAGGAUUAGAUACCCUGGUAGUCCACGCAGUAAACGAUGAUCACUAGCUGUUUGCGAUACAGUGUAAGCGGCACAGCGAAAGCGUUAAGUGAUCCACCUGGGGAGUACGCCGGCAACGGUGAAACUCAAAGGAAUUGACGGGGGCCCGCACAAGCGGAGGAACAUGUGGUUUAAUUCGAUGAUACGCGAGGAACCUUACCCGGGUUUGAACGCAUUCGGACCGAGGUGGAAACACCUUUUCUAGCAAUAGCCGUUUGCGAGGUGCUGCAUGGUUGUCGUCAGCUCGUGCCGUGAGGUGUCGGCUUAAGUGCCAUAACGAGCGCAACCCUUGCCACUAGUUACUAACAGGUAAAGCUGAGGACUCUGGUGGGACUGCCAGCGUAAGCUGCGAGGAAGGCGGGGAUGACGUCAAAUCAGCACGGCCCUUACAUCCGGGGCGACACACGUGUUACAAUGGCGUGGACAAAGGGAGGCCACCUGGCGACAGGGAGCGAAUCCCCAAACCACGUCUCAGUUCGGAUCGGAGUCUGCAACCCGACUCCGUGAAGCUGGAUUCGCUAGUAAUCGCGCAUCAGCCAUGGCGCGGUGAAUACGUUCCCGGGCCUUGUACACACCGCCCGUCAAGCCAUGGGAGCCGGGGGUACCUGAAGUCCGUAACCGCGAGGAUCGGCCUAGGGUAAAACUGGUGACUGGGGCU